GAAAGAGAAGAACAGCUUUACUCUUACUGCAUGUUUCACUGUGUAUCAAAGACAUUCACAGUAUACAGCAGCAUGAGCUAAAGAACCUUUUGUUUCCAUUAAUCUGCUCUGCGUGGGGAACAGUUUUCUUCUUUCCUUAGUAAAACAGCAUUUAGGCAAUGCUACAGGGGAUUAUGAUGAGACCCGGGGUAUGAAAGGUGGCUGUUUCUCAAAAUACCUGCUUGGAGCAAGGUAGUUAAUCGGCUGAGCUCCCCACCCUGGUGCUAUGGCCUUUUCAUGUGAAGUCUGCAGGUCUGGCUUCUGGAAUUUCUCAGCUGCAGAGUAUCAUUUGUUCCCCAUGAUGGCGGUGGGGUGUGGUCACGCCUACAUACACCUGCUGCUGUCACCAGGGAGGUAUUGCAGCACAGGUACACAGGAAGCUUCGGUGGGUCCCAUGGUCGUGGCUCCCAAUUCUCUCUGCCUUUUUCUCCAUUCCUCCCUUUUAUGUUCCACCCACUCUUCCAUUUCUCUUUUCUCUCUUCUUCUCUCCCCAUAACAUUUCUCAAGCUGCUGCUAGAGUCCAGAUACUGGGUAAGAUUCUAGAAAUACAAAGUUGCGUGAGAGAUCUUGAUUUCUGUGAAUGUUGCUUCCACUUUUCUGGAACGAUUCCACAUGCUAAGUUUAUUAAACCUCUCUACUUUGAUUUUGAUAUAACUGUUUUGGAAAAGGAGAUAGUCUAGUAGCUAUAGCAAAUAUAUUGACUAACUAUAAUUGCAUGAUCAUAUGAUGAAAAUUAAACAAUCAGAAAGUGCUCUAGCUUAUUGAUUGGGGUAGGGGAGAAAAUAUUACAUCUCCUCCUUGCCUAUGUCAAGGUUUAAGAAUUUGUAUUAACUAUUUGGGAUACAAAAUAACACAAAUGACAAACCGUACUGCUGGUAGUAGAUUUAUUUGUUGCUGAGAUAACUAAAAAAGUUAGGAGAUCCUGAGUAGACAUUAAUACUUAAUCUCAAAAUAUUCCCCCUCCCUUUUUUUUGUUUUUUUUUGCUGCGUAUACUGAUUCCAGGUGCUUAUAUCGUCCAAAUGAAUGCCUAGAGUCUUUUUAAUACAAAAGUACAGCUUUAAGUGAGAGUUCUACCCUACCUGGAUAUAACCUAGAGAGAGAUUUGAAAAUGAAGAUGUAAACAGUGUUAAUUCUAGAGAGUGGUGAGGGAACAGUAGUUUAGCCAGUCAUUAUAGUUAAUGUAAGUCAUUAGGGGUGUGGAGUUGGAAGAGGCUGUGCAAUGUUUUAUUUCAUGCUAAUCAUUUUUUUUUACUUACUCAGAAUUAUUCCAAAUCUAAUGUUGAUAUUUGAUUUUAAUUGCUUGGAACACUUUUCAAUAGAAAAGCCAAAAUCUUGUAAUGGAUCUGCGAAGAAGAAAACAAUAGAUUACUUCUUAGCUAUGAGCUCACAUUUGCCAAUGAUAGUGUUCCAGACAGUUUUAUCAUCCACAUUGCUGACCUGGAAGAUGCAUCAUUGUCUAUGGUAUCUGCAAUGGAAAUGAUCACUAGGCAAUUUCAGCCUUGCAAAUCUAACGUAAGUACACUUUUGUUUGAUCAAAACCCCUUUGGUCCAGUCACUAAUUUUCCUAAGGGUGGGAAAGAGCCCUCUUGUCUUAUGCUCACUGGACUCCUUCCUAAGUAUCUCUGUGCUGUCCCAGGGUUUCUUUCAGCCUGGAAAAUAGGAGCAGGGGGUUGGAGACGAUAGUUCCUGCUACAUCCUUGGCACUCAGUAUUGAAAAAGAUAGAAGCCAAUGAACAGAUGCUUAGGAAGGUGCAUCCUCAAAAUUGUGGAUAAAUUUAAGUUGCUAUCCAGGCAAAAUAAAAGAGGCUAAGUAUGUAUUGUGUUGUCGAUUAGCAGCUAUAUAAUUGCACUGUAUGUUCAUCAAUAUUUUAAAGGUAUAGAUAGGAAGAAUCAACUAAGGGUGGGAGAAGGAAAUAAAGCAUUUUCCUGAUACUAGAAACACAUUGUUGUUAGGAAAAUAAUCUCAAUAAAGAACAAAGUCACAAAGAAAGCUGUAGGCUGCAUCUCUCUGAGGAUAUGUAUGUAAAAGUAGAAAGACAGAUUGCUUAAAAAGCGCUUAAGGGUUUGGUGAGCUUUCCUAGCAGCUAUUUCAAAUUUAUAUGCAAGACUGAUAUCUUUGAGUGUAAACAUGCAGUUUGUGGUCCUCUUGGGGAAAGUGACAUUGGUUCCUCCUCCUCCCCCAAUCCCACCCUCUCAAACUCAUCUCCUUCUCUGUAUUUAUUUGCAUUUCCACUCAGGCACUUUGUAUGUUCUACACUACAUUAUAUUUGCUUGUAUGCCUUUGUCAUUCCUCCACUAGAUAAUGCAAAGCUGACUCCCCAGUGCCAGGGCUAUACAUAAUCUCUUAAGAUUAUACUAGAUCUCCAGUGAUUUUCUGCUGGAUGAAUAGUAAUGGUUAUUUGUAGUAAAUUUGCUGAGAGCCUUAAAGCAGGAUUCCUCAAUGUUGUCACUAUUGACACUUUGUUUUGGAUAUCCCUUGUGGUGGGUGCUGUUCUGCGCAUUGCAGGAUGUCUAGGAGCAUCCCUGGUCUCUACCCACCAGAUGCCAGUAGCACCCCCAUACCCUCUGGUUGUGACAACCAAAAAUAUCUCUAGACAUUACCAAAGUAUCCAUGAGGGACAAACUCACCCCUGGUGGCGAUCACUGCUUUAAAUAAUCACUUUAUCAAUUUCCAGGCUUUACUUAUACUGCAAAUGCCUCAGAAUCACCUACCAAAAUAAAAGAUGGUAGGUUGCAUUUUAAAGCAGUUCUCCUUCUACAGUAUGAACCGUGAUGGGCAGGCUGAGAGUGGAGAGACUUUCCCUUGGACCCUUGCUUCAGUAACUUUUAAUCAUAUAAGAUGGAUCAUCUGACUUUGGACUUUCUGAAACAAUAACAUCGGAAAGUUAAUCAGAGUUGGUGUUCCGAGAAUUUGAGGAAAGAGAUAAGUGUUUCCUCCGGAUACUUCACUGUAUUUCAGCAAAUGAGCUCAGGAAAGAAGUCAAAGCUUCAUCAUGAAAUAGAAGACUUCAUUUUCAAUAUUUCUUCCUUGGCCUCUAUGUGGCACUCCCUUGCUCUCUGUUCUGUUGAAUUCUAUGGCCUCAGCCCAAUGGAGGACGGCAUUAUAGUGGGUGAACCCAGCAAACCGCAAACUGCCCCUGCUCCCCUCUCCCCUGGGCAGGUGUGCCCUCGAAGGCAGUCUUCUCCAAACCAGCAGCAUGCAAACCCUGCCAGAGGCGAGGAAGAGCUCCAGGAGAACAGCCAGCAGCAUCUGUUUUGCAUACUAAGGGCAGCAACAAUCAAAUCUCUCCUAGAAAGGUUUUCUUGGACAUUCAUGGAGUAAAAUAGAGUUGGAUGAACAAGCUGGGUUUAGAGUGAGCAGCAUUUGAACAGAUCUCAGCUCCAAAGGUAUUUUUGUGCCUUCCACCCUCCAUUAGUGGCGUAGGCUGGGCUAGACCUGGGCAGCUGUCGACGGGAGGACAACCUUGUCAGGAUGGCUUCCAUUAACAGCUAGCAGUAGGCUUUCAAAUGGAAUCAGUAGGAAGAAGACAAAAUCCAAUGACACAGACUCUGGGAGUGAAAUUCCUCAGCAGAGGAUGGUGGGGGCCUGGGUACACUCCGCUGGACCAAUCCUCGAUUUGACUUCAGGCAGCCGGAAAGCUUGGAUGUAUGUCUCUAAGUCCUGGAGUCCAUGGAUGGAGCUCCGCCCCCUGUGGCCUCUGCGUUGCUGGCUGGGUAGUUUCAGGCAUAGAGGAGGGCCCAACUCUUACGCAGCUAGUUCCAUUUUCUAUAUUCUAGCUCUACUUGAGGUUUUUCUUUAGCUUUAUAUUUUGAAAUAAUUAUAUUUUCACAGGAAGUUGCAAAAAGAUACAGAGAGGUCUCAUAUAUCUUUCUCCAUCUUCCCCCAUGGUAAGAUCUUACAUGGAGGGCAAUACCCAAACUGGGACAUUGACACUGGUACAAUCCACAAAGUUUAUUCAGAUGUCAACAGUUUAGCAAUCAUCUGUGUGUGUGUGUACAAGUGUGUGUGCCUAUUUUUUACAGUUCUAUUGCUUGGGUUUAAAAUGGUUAGAAAUUGGUCUUCCUCCUCUCAGGGGAGAGUAGAAUUCUUACAGCAGAGUCACUGUGGAAAGGAGCUGACUCCCCUCCAGCCUCACUUGCACCAGCCUUCCACAUACUCACGGCCAAGUGCAACCCCAAGAUUGCAAUGUCCUUCCUGCUUUGUAAAGGUAGUCGUUCUCCCCCUCCCUUUAUCCUAUGCUCUUCUCUUCUCUCUUCCUGUCCCUCAUUCUCUCUCUCUCUCUCCCUCUUUCUCUUUUUCUUCUUAUAUCAGUACCUCGAUCUGGCUACCAUCCUGAGAUUAAGAACACUGACUUUUCUUCGAACACAUCUUAACCUUCAUGGCUCAUUCCCUGUGGCCCACAUUACUCUAAGAGCUGGUAUUGCUUCCUGCAUGUGCUAUUGGCAGAACACAGGCUGGCCCCAGGAGAAUGUUAAGUAUUACAAGCAUGCUUCCGAUAGAGGCACGACCUGGGGAGGGAGAAAGGGCAUAGAGGGCCCAGGAGACCUUACCAGUCACACACAGCUUAGCUGCACUGGCAGGACUGCCUCUCACAAAUAGUUUAUGGAAGGAAGGAAAAAUUGGGUUAACAGAAUGUGAGUAAAGCUGGUCUGCUUCUGAAUGCUCAAUAAAAUAGCACUGGAUGGUUGUUUAAUAAUGGGGGGUGUGUUAGGGUUCUCUAGAAAAACAGAACCACUUGGCACUGGAGACUGAGUGUCUGAGUGUGGUUGAACUGCUAGUUCCGGGUCAAAUGGUAGCAGAUAUUCCUCUGCAUCUUUCAGAAUUCUUUCCCAAAUGUAACAAAAUAACAAACAGACCUUGCUUUUGAUUUCUUUUUUUUUAGGUUGGCUGAUGGCCAGUUCUGCCAGCUUGUGUUCUGUUUAUCAUACAGAUCUAGCUGGGCACAGAUCUGGAAAUCUGUCUUCUUUCAAGGCUGUACUUUUACUAGAGUGUCUUAAUUUUCUUGGCGAAUUCAUAGGAUGACAUUCAAGGGUCACUGUAGACCUUUACAGGAGGAUGAUGCAUAAGGCUUCAGUAAAAUCGCAUUGCUGGAAAUCCAUUAGCAGCACAACGCAAAAUUAACUUUCUUCUUUUCUGUCCUUAAUGCCACUGUGUUCCCUCCGCCUCCUCCCCUCGUACUCCCUCCCACCUUUGUGGAAAAAGAAAUAACUUACAAUGUGGUAAGUGCAUUCUAGCUGUGUUUUUCUAUUGUGUCCUGAUCUCUUCUUUUUUUCUACCUGUCAAAUCUUAUUACUGUAGCACAGCAAGGCUCCCUAGUGGGUCAUUAUUUCAAAUAAUAGUAGUUCCACUCCCAUUUGACUCUCUUUGGCCAGCAUUUCCUCGGGAAUUGACUCACACAUUCAAGUCAACUGGCUUCUUGUUUCUUCAUCUCAGAUAUGUAAACAGUGUGUUCAAAAUACUUAAACAUGUUUCUUGCUUUCAAAUGCAACAAAAAUAAAAUUAACAUGAUCACAAUGGAA